GUGCCAGCCGCCGCGGUAAUACCGGCAGCCCGAGUGGUGGCCACUCUUAUUGGGUCUAAAGCGUCUGUAGCCGGCCUCGCAAGUCCGUCGGGAAAUCCAGUAGCUCAACUAGUGGGCGUCCGACGGAAACUGCACAGCUUGGGACCGGAAGGCUCGAAGGGUACGGCCGGGGUAGGAGUGAAAUCCUGUAAUCCCGUCCGGACCACCGAUGGCGAAAGCACUUCGAGAAAACGGAUCCGACAGUAAGGGACGAAAGCUAAGAUCGCGAACCGGAUUAGAUACCCCUGUAGUCC
rnacentral:rRNA from 1 species